rnacentral:rRNA from 1 species
UGGCGGACGGGUGAGUAACGCGUGGAAAACCUGCCGUAUACUGGGGGAUAACACUUAGAAAUAGGUGCUAAUACCGCAUAAGCGCACAGCUUCGCAUGAAGCGGUGUGAAAAACUCUGGUGGUAUACGAUGGUUCCGCGUCUGAUUAGCUAGUUGGUGGGGUAAUGGCCUACCAAGGCAACGAUCAGUAGCCGGCCUGAGAGGGNGAACGGCCACAUUGGGACUGAGACACGGCCCAAACUCCUACGGAAGGCAGCAG